GACGAACGCUGGCGGCGUGCCUAAUACAUGCAAGUAGAACGCUGAAGAGAGGAGCUUGCUCUUCUUGGAUGAGUUGCGAACGGGUGAGUAACGCGUAGGUAACCUGCCUUGUAGCGGGGGAUAACUAUUGGAAACGAUAGCUAAUACCGCAUAACAAUGGAUGACACAUGUCAUUUAUUUGAAAGAGGCAAUUGCUCCACUACAAGAUGGACCUGCGUUGUAUUAGCUAGUAGGUGAGGUAAUGGCUCACCUAGGCGACGAUACAUAGCCGACCUGAGAGGGUGAUCGGCCACACUGGGACUGAGACACGGCCCAGACUCCUACGGGAGGCAGCAGUAGGGAAUCUUCGGCAAUGGGGGCAACCCUGACCGAGCAACGCCGCGUGAGUGAAGAAGGUUUUCGGAUCGUAAAGUUCUGUUGUAAGUCAAGAACGGGUGUGAGAGUGGAAAGUUCACACUGUGACGGUAGCUUACCAGAAAGGGACGGCUAACUACGUG
rnacentral:rRNA from 1 species